GUGAAAUAUAUAUUGUAUAAUACCAGAGCAAAAAAAUUUCAAUAUGCAUUCAAUCAAAAAUAUUUUUACAUCAUCAUACCCAUUACAAAAUAUAUUCUAAGCUCAAUGAAACUAAUUUAGAGCAGAGGGCUUGAGAGCUUGUUGGAGCCCUCAGGGUCUAAUUCUAUCUCAUCAUCUUUGAUCUCAACUUUAUUAUCGGGCGUUGCUUCCUCAGACUCACACAACUCAGGAUGACCCGAAGCCUCAAGGAUAGUCUUCAGUUCUUUAGGUUGAACCUCGAGCAAAUUUACCCGAAGGAAGGCUCGGGCCCAUCACAUAGUCGACCUCAACCUCUUAAAUUCCUCAAACAUUUUGAAGUCCUCGAUAGCUUUUCAUGGGCCUCCUCGAGUUACGCCUUGAACUUCUUCUACUUUUGCUUAAGCUUCACGUUUUUAAUUUUAUCUCUUCACACUUGAGCUGGAGUUUGGUGCCCUUCAACUCAACUUUAGCUUCUCAUGCUCCUUCCACAAGGUAUUAUGCUUAGCCUCGAGCUUGGCUAUUCUUUUUAUCCCAAUAUUCCACUGGCUUUGUAAGCUCGACCGUUUUGUUGGAUUUGUCCACCCCCUUAAGGGUAAGGCCUCAAAAAAUGCUGAGAGCCCAAAAAAUAAUGAAAACAUCAUGAGCACACUUCGAGGCUUAAAUAUAGGAAAAAAUUACAAAUCAUAUAAUAGUUAAAGCUCAAGCUUUGUCUUCAAAGUCAUGGUCUCAAGAGUCUUUAAACCAUCAUCGAACUUCACACUGGCCUAUUUUCAACAAUGAUUAGACUAGUAUGCAUUACUGGUUAUCCUUAAACAAGAAAGAAGCUAGAGGGAUGAGAUCUUCCUUAAUGUCCAAGACCUUAGAUGUGGCCCAAGGUACUUUAUACUGAUGAGUACUUCCCUAGGGUGAUGAAGACCCAAUGAACGGGUUUGCAUCCCUGGUGUCUGACAUCAACCCUCUACAAGUAACCUCGAGGUGCUUUCAUGUGGCCUCUUUUUUCAUUUCUUCUGGUUUGGGGCCCUCACUUAGAGAGCUCUAGAUUUCUUCUGAACACCUUAUCGUAGAUGAUACAACCUGUCUUGAAUCACCCCAAUGAACCCGGCAUGUAUCGUGCAUCGAUGAUAGAUGCCAGCUAAGUGUCGGACCCACCACCGUGACUAUGACAUUAUUUUAUGAAAAUUUUGACAGAGUUCCCUCUGAAAUAUGGACUAAAAUCACUUGAUCAAAACUCAAUUUUCUCAAAUCAAUGCAUAUAAUAUAAAACAGGGUAUACCAGUCCCUCAUAAUACCAACUAUUCAAAAUAACGUGUACAAGAAUGAAAUUUACAUUUCUGAACAAGCUAAAAGACUCUAAAAGCCCAACAUAAUCAAAAGAUACCAAAUAUGCAAUUAGCCCAUGAUAUGGAUACAAUUUCUGAUAAAAAUCCAUGUAUCCCAAAAAUUUUAUCUGUUUAAACUACAAAAUAAGUCAUACAACUGAUGACAAUGCGUGGCUCAACACAGGAGAUCAACAGACUCCAAUGCUGCUCAACUCAGCUACUAUCUAAUAAGAAAAAUAGUGAUAAAAUAUAUGAGCUAUUAACUCAGUGAGUAGAUAUUUGCAAAUAAGUAUACCUUUUCCGUUCAUAUAUAUUUUGUAAAAAUUCUUAUUCUCUUAAAAAUUUGGGAAAUUCUAAAAUUUAAUAACUUUUUUUGAAAUUGAAACAUGAUUGCAUUGUAAAAUUCUUUAUUGUAGAUAAGUACCUGUAAAAUAUAAUGAAUAAUAAUAAUCUGAUAUCUAUGAAACAUUAUUGUUGUUUGAUACUAUGAGCUGGAAGCUUUAUUCUAAAAACUGAAUAAACUAAAUUAUAUAAUCUGAAAUCUGAUAAGCUUUAUAAAUACUGAAAAAUAACACUAAAAAGUUAACCUGAAUAACCAUACUCAUGUACCUGUUAAUCUCGAAAUACAUGGCAAGCUUAUUCAAUUCUGAAAUUCUACAAUUCUGAAAUUCUGGUCAUACCCGCGCAGAGCUACCCGAAAGCUAUAAUCUUGUUGUACACUAUAGAAACAUAUUCACAACAGUGUAGAGCGGGUAAAAUCUCCAUAACUAAUUAUACACCGUUGAAACGCAUUUACACCAGUGUAGAGUGGGUAAAAUAACCAUAUAGAGUCAUAAACUAUGAAAAUACAUUCGCAUAAGUGCAGACUAAGAUAAAAUCAUCUGGGUACUUUCUGGCGGUUUUAAAAAUACAAUAGAUGUGCUGAAAUAUUUAAGAUGCACAUAACAUGCUAACUAAAAUGAUUUUACUAAACUAAAUUUAACUUUAAAAACAAUUGAUUAUAAAUCCACUUUAUUCUGAAAAUCAUGCUGUCAAAUCAAUUGUAUGAAAUAAUAAAUUUUCUGAUCUAAUAUAAAUUUAAUAAAUACUAAUUUCCGAAAAAUAAAUUUGUAUCCACUGACCAAGUUGUAGAUUGAUCGGGACUUCAAUCUUCUAGACGCCUCCUCACAUUCAAAUACCAAGUAUGACAUUUUGCACUCGUUCCAAGAAAUCAUAUCUCAUCACUAAGGUGCUUUAAACAUCUUUCCUACCAUUGGAAUGAUAAUUUACUAAUAAGAACUUGGAGUUUUUUAUUUUCAAUAUAAUAUCAUAAUCCCAAUUGGGCUUACUAAUAACAUAUCCACCUUUAUAUAAGUUAUUUCAAUAUUUAAUCCCCAAUAUUCAAUAUUUAAUUUGGUUCUCAUACUAAAAAUCCAAGAAAAUCAAAAGAUUAACAAAAUUGGCCCUGUAUUUCCAGAAUAUAGAAACCUGAUUCCAAUUUUUGAAUAUUGAAAACUAUCAUCAAAACCAUUGACAGAAAUAACACUUUCUGGGCAGAAUUUCAAAAUAGCACCUGUGCAUUACCUUGCUUGAAAAUAGCCUAAAAAUUUCUAAAUAAUAGAGAAAUUAAACCCCAAAUCCUCAAUCAAGUGAUUGAUAUCAUGUAACUACAACAAUUUUAAAAAAUGAAGCUAUAAUUUACAAACCCUUUUCAUAUUCUUUGAUUUCAACAUAAAUCUUCCAAUAAACAUUUCCUUUUGCAAUAAUAUUUUUAAAUACCUCAAAUACAUCUUAAUAACCUUUAAUUAUUGCUAACAUUCAACAUAUAAAAUUGUUCACAAUGUCUAAAAUCAUAUAUCAUCCAUUAAUAAGUAAAUAUUUUGCUUACCUUCAAGAAGAAAUUGGAAAACAAAUAACCCAAACAUGAAAAUCUACCGUCCUCUUUCUUUGAUUCUUCUUUUCCAUCUCUUUUUCUUCCUUUUCUUUCUACCUUUUUCCGCUUCUCUUCUAGUUCCUUCAAGUUGCUGUGCGUGUACGUAUGUGAAAAAUGGAAAUAAUGGCUUGUAGUCCACUU
rnacentral:lncRNA from 1 species